rnacentral:snRNA from 1 species
GGAUGUGAGGGCAAUCUGGCUGCAACAUCUGUCACCCCACUGAUUGCCAGGGUUGAUUCGGCUGAUCUGGCUGGCUAGGUAGGUGGGUGUCCCCUUCCUCCCUCACUGCUCCAUGUGCAUCCGUCCCAAAGAGGACAGCCUUCCUGGAAUAGAGAAGGACCAGUCUGAGGUCUAGAGUAUAAGAGUAGCUGCACUCUCCUGCUAGAACCUCCAAACAAGCUCUCAAGAAAGCACAACUAUUAUACAUGUUUAUUAAGCACUGGAAUAUAUUAUAUUUAACCAAUACGCUAUU